rnacentral:rRNA from 1 species
AGUGAACGCUGGCGGUAGGCCUAACACAUGCAAGUCGAACGGCAGCACAGUAAGAGCUUGCUCUUACGGGUGGCGAGUGGCGGACGGGUGAGGAAUACAUCGGAAUCUACUUUUUCGUGGGGGAUAACGUAGGGAAACUUACGCUAAUACCGCAUACGACCUACGGGUGAAAGCAGGGGAUCUUCGGACCUUGCGCGAUUGAAUGAGCCGAUGUCGGAUUAGCUAGUUGGCGGGGUAAAGGCCCACCAAGGCGACGAUCCGUAGCUGGUCUGAGAGGAUGAUCGGCCACACUGGAACUGAGACACGGUCCAGAAUCCUACGGGAGGCAGCAGUGGGGAAUAUUGGAAAAUGGGCGCAAGCCUGAUCCAGCCAUACCGCGUGGGUGAAGAAGGCCUUCGGGUUGUAAAGCCCUUUUGUUGGGAAAGAAAAGCAGCAGGUUAAUACCCCGCUGUUCUGACGGUACCAAAAGAAUAAGCACCGGCUAACUUCGU